CAGUCGCCGCGGUAAUACGGAGGGUGCAAGCGUUAUCCGGAUUUAUUGGGUUUAAAGGGUCCGUAGGCGGAUCUGUAAGUCAGUGGUGAAAUCUCACAGCUUAACUGUGAAACUGCCAUUGAUACUGCAGGUCUUGAGUAAAUUUGAAGUGGCUGGAAUAAGUAGUGUAGCGGUGAAAUGCAUAGAUAUUACUUAGAACACCAAUUGCGAAGGCAGGUCACUAAGAUUUAACUGACGCUGAUGGACGAAAGCGUGGGGAGCGAACAGGAUUAGAUACCCCCGUAGUCCCUGUCUCUUAUAA
rnacentral:rRNA from 1 species